rnacentral:rRNA from 1 species
UUUAAUAUGAGAGUUCGAUCCUGGCUCAGGAUGAACGCUGGCGGCGUGCCUAACACAUGCAAGUCGAACGAGCGAGAGAUGAAACCUAGUGAUUCUCAAGCGAGUGGCGGACGGGUGAGUAACGCGUGGGUAACCUGCCUUACAGAGGGGGAUAACAGUCUGAAAAGACUGCUAAUACCGCAUAAGC